AUUGAACGCUUGCGGAAUGCUUUACACAUGCAAGUCGAGCGGCAGCGCGGGGCAACCUGGCGGCGAGCGGCGAACGUGAGGGUAAUGUAUCGGAACGUGUCCUGUCGUGGGGGAUAGACCGCUGAAAACCGGAUUAAUACCGCAUACGAUCGAGGGAUGAAAUUGGGGGACCGCAAGGCCCCCCGCCAUAGGAGCGGCCGAUCUCUGAUUAGCUAGAUGGUGGGGUAAAGGCCCACAAAGGCUUCGAUCAGUAGCUGGUCUGAGAGGAUGUUCAGCCACACUGGGACUGAGACACGGCCCAGACUCCUACGGGAGGCAGCAGUGGGGAAUUUUGGACAAUGGGGGCAACCCUGAUCCAGCCAUUCCGCGUGAGUGAAGAAGGCCUUCGGGUUGUAAAGCUCUUUUGUCCGGGAAGAAACGGUUUUGGCUAAUAACCAAGACUACUGACGGUACCGGAAGAAUAAGGACCGGCUAACUACGUGCCAGCAGCCGCGGUAA
rnacentral:rRNA from 1 species